rnacentral:rRNA from 1 species
AACGAACGCUGGCGGCAUGCCUAACACAUGCAAGUCGAACGAGACCUUCGGGUCUAGUGGCGCACGGGUGCGUAACGCGUGGGAACCUGCCCUUAGGUUCGGAAUAACUCCCCGAAAGGGGUGCUAAUACCGGAUACUGUCUUCGGACCAAAGAUUUAUCGCCUUUGGAUGGGCCCGCGUUGGUUUUGCUGUUUGGUAGGGAAAAAGCCUACCAAGGCGAGGAUCCAUAGCUGGUCUGAGAGGAGGAUCAGCCACCCGGGGACUGGGACACGGCCCAGACUCCAACGGGAGGAAGCAGGGGGGAAGUUGGGAAAUGGGGGGAAGGCUUGAGCCAGGAAGGCGGGGGGGGGGAGGAAGGCCUUGGGUUGGUAAAGUUCUUUUACCCGGGCUGAUAAUGACGGUACCUGGAGAAGAAGCACCGGCUAACUCCGUG